AAUUUGUCUUUUAAUUGAAGACUGGUAUAAAAGGCAUCAUGGAGAUAUGCUGUCUUAUAGUAAUGUAUUAAAAUUUACUCAAGAGGUGAAAAUUCCUCUAAUAACAAAAUAAGACGAGAAGACCCUUAGAAUUAUGACUAUGCUUGUUUUAAGCAAAGUUUUUGUUGGGGCAACACUGUCAAAUUAAAAACUGAUGGGUAUAAAUUUUAACACAACAAGUGUAUUAAAAAAGAAUUUAAUUACCUAAGGGAUAACAGCAUAAUUCUUUUAUUGGGAGUAUGACCUCGAUGUUGGACUAAGGACUUUCAUAACUAGACGUAAUGAAAGAUUGUUCUGUUCGAACAAAUAUACCCUACGUGAUCUGAGUUCAGACUC
rnacentral:rRNA from 1 species